GGUUGUAGCUCAGUGGUAGAGUGCUUGCCUCGCUCGCACAUGUGAGGCCCUGGGUUUGAUCCUCAGCACCA
rnacentral:tRNA from 1 species